ACACUUACCUGGGGGGGAGAUACUAUGAUCAAGAAGUUGGUUUUCCCAGGGUAAGACUUAGCCAUUGUGCUUCAGACAUGGUGACUCCUGCAAUUUCUCCAGCUGUGUAAAAGUCAACUGCAUGAUUUGGGACACGAACUUGUGUUCUCCCUUAUUUAAU
rnacentral:snRNA from 11 species